rnacentral:rRNA from 1 species
AUUGAACGCUGGCGGCAGGCCUAACACAUGCAAGUCGAGCGAGCGGCGGACGGGUGAGUAAUGUCUGGGAAACUGCCUGAUGGAGGGGGAUAACUACUGGAAACGGUAGCUAAUACCGCAUACCAUCAGAUGUGCCCAGAUGGGAUUAGCUAGUAGGUGGGGUAAUGGCUCACCUGGGCGACGAUCCCUAGCUGGUCUGAGAUGAUGACCAGCCACAUGGGAACUGGGACACGGUCCAGACUCCUACGUGAGGCAGCAGAGGGGAAUAUUGCACAAUGGGCGCAAGCCUGAUGCAGCCAUGCCGCGUGUGUGAAGAAGGCCUUCGGGUUGUAAAGCACUUUCAGCGAGGAGGCGUUACUCGCAGAAGAAGCACCUGCUAACUCCGUGCCAGCCGCAGCGGUAAUAC